rnacentral:rRNA from 1 species
GGAAUUUUGCGCAAUGGGCGAAAGCCUGACGCAGUAACGCCGCGUGGAGGAUGAAGGCCCUCGGGUCGUAAACUCCUGUCAGAAGGAAUGAAGGUUAGCAGAAGCCAACGCUGUCUAAUCCGACAGUACCUUCAAAGGACGCCCCGGCUAAUUCCGUGCCAGCAGCCGCGGUAAUACAGAUGGGGCAAGCGUUGUUCGGAAUUAUUGGGCGUAGAGGGCGCGUAGGUGGUCCUAUAUGUCUGCUGUGAAAGGGUACGGCUCAACCGUGCUUGGUCGGUGGAAACUGUAGGACUUGAGGCUGGGAGGGGCUAGUGGAAUUCCCCGUGUAGCGGUGAAAUGCGUAGAGAUGGGGGAGAACACUCGUGGCGAAGGCGGCUAGCUGGACCAGUCCUGACACUGAUGCGCGACAGCGUGGGGAGCAAA